UCUUCGUAAAACCCUAACACUCGAAUCUUCAUUCAUCCAUGGAGCAGGAGUUCACAUAUUAUUCGCUUCAUAAGUGCAAGAAAGCAAGCAUGAAUUCAAACAACUGGCUUUCGUUUCCUCUUUCUCCAACUCACCCCAUCCUUACCAAAGGGCAUCCAUUUGCAGCCAUGGUGGAUUUAUCCUCUUUUUUGAUUAUUUACAGAUCUGAGCCUCACAUGGCAUGAAAAUUGGUUGCAUUGGUAUUUCUUUCUUCACUUUUUUCUUUUUAAAACAAGUGUUACACUAUUUUGUUGGCAUACUUGUAAAAUUC